rnacentral:siRNA from 1 species
UAAGAGAUAUGAGCCACUCCACU